rnacentral:rRNA from 1 species
UACGGAGGAUGCGAGCGUUAUCCGGAUUUAUUGGGUUUAAAGGGUGCGUAGGCGGCUUUUUAAGUCAGCGGUGAGAUUUUGCAGCUUAACUGUAACAGUGCCGUUGAUACUGGGGAGCUAGGAUUUGGUUGCUGUGGGUGGAAUGUGUGGUGUAGCGGUGAAAUGCUUAGAGAUCACACAGAAUAUCGAUUGCGAAGGCAGCUCACAAAGCCAAGAUUGACGCUGAGGCACGAAAGUGUGGGGAUCAAACAGGAUUA